rnacentral:rRNA from 1 species
AUUGAACGCUGGCGGCAGGCUUAACACAUGCAAGUCGAACGAGAGGCGGACGGGUGAGUAAUGCAUGGGAAUCUUGCUUAUGGAGCGGAAUAACCACGGGAAACUGUAGCUAAUACCGCUUACCAUAGAAUCAGUCCACGGUGGAUUAGGUAGUUGGUGAGGUAAAGCGUCACCACGCCGACGAUCUCUAGCUGGUCUGAGAGGGUGACCAGCCACACGUGGACUGAGACAGGGACCAGACUCCUACGGAAGGAAGCAGGUGGGAAUAUUGCGCAAUGGGGGCAAGCUGAGGCAGCCAAGCCGCGUGAGUGAAGAAGGCCUUCGGGUUGUAAAGUUCUUUAGGUAGCGAGGCGUUAACUACAGAAGAAGCACCGGCUAACUCCGUGCCAGCAGCCGGGGUAGUAC